rnacentral:rRNA from 1 species
GACGAACGCUGGCGGCGUGCUUAACACAUGCAAGUCGAGCGGAAAGGCCACUUCGGUGGUACUCGAGCGGCGAACGGGUGAGUAACACGUGAGUAAUCUGCCCCCCACUUUGGGAUAGCCACCGGAAACGGUGAUUAAUACCGGAUAUGACCCUUGACCGCAUGGUUGUGGGUGGAAAGUUUUUCGGUGGGGGAUGUGCUCGCGGCCUAUCAGCUUGAUGGUGGGGUAAUGGCCUACCAUGGCUUCGACGGGUAGCCGGCCUGAGAGGGUGACCGGCCACACUGGGACUGAGACACGGCCCAGACUCCUACGGGAGGCAGCAGUGGGGAAUAUUGGACAAUGGGCGGAAGCCUGAUCCAGCAACGCCGCGUGAGGGAUGACGGCCUUCGGGUUGUAAACCUCUUUCAGUACCGACGAAGCGAAAGUGACGGUAGGUACAGAAGAAGCACCGGCCAACUACG